UCUGAUUCUUUUAGCCUUACAAUUUCUUUGG
rnacentral:piRNA from 1 species